rnacentral:rRNA from 1 species
GAUGAACGCUGGCGGCGUGCCUAAUACAUGCAAGUCGAGCGAACAGACGAGGAGCUUGCUCCUCUGACGUUAGCGGCGGACGGGUGAGUAACACGUGGAUAACCUACCUAUAAGACUGGGAUAACUUCGGGAAACCGGAGCUAAUACCGGAUAACAUGUUGAACCGCAUGGUUCAACAGUGAAAGACGGUCUUGCUGUCACUUAUAGAUGGAUCCGCGCCGCAUUAGCUAGUUGGUAAGGUAACGGCUUACCAAGGCAACGAUGCGUAGCCGACCUGAGAGGGUGAUCGGCCACACUGGCACUGAGACACGGUCCAGACUCCUACGGGAGGCAGCAGUAGGGAAUCUUCCGCAAUGGGCGAAAGCCUGACGGAGCAACGCCGCGUGAGUGAAGAAGGUCUUCGGAUCGUAAAACUCUGUUAUUAGGGAAGAACAAAUGUGUAAGUAACUAUGCACGUCCUGACGGUACCUAAUCAGAAAGCCACGGCUAACUACGUG